rnacentral:rRNA from 1 species
GACGAACGCUGGCGGCGUGCUUAACACAUGCAAGUCGAACGGAAAGGCCCUGCUUUUGUGGGGUGCUCGAGUGGCGAACGGGUGAGUAACACGAGAGUAACCUGCCCUUGACUUUGGGAUAACUUCAGGAAACUGGGGCUAAUACCGGAUAGGAGCUCCUGCUGCAUGGUGGGGGUUGGAAAGUUUCGGCGGUUGGGGAUGGACUCGCGGCUUAUCAGCUUGUUGGCGGGGUAGUGGCUUACCAAGGCUUUGACGGGUAGCCGGCCUGAGAGGGUGACCGGCCACAUUGGGACUGAGAUACGGCCCAGACUCCUACGGGAGGCAGCAGUGGGGAAUAUUGCACAAUGGGCGGAAGCCUGAUGCAGCAACGCCGCGUGCGGGAUGACGGCCUUCGGGUUGUAAACCGCUUUCGCCUGUGACGAAGCGUGAGUGACGGUAAUGGGUAAAGAAGCACCGGCUAACUACGUG